AUUGAACGCUGGCGGCAGGCCUAACACAUGCAAGUCGAACGAGUGGCGGACGGGUGAGUAAUGUCUGGGAAACUGCCUGAUGGAGGGGGAUAACUACUGGAAACGGUAGCUAAUACCGCAUACCAUCAGAUGUGCCCGGAUGGGAUUAGCUAGUUGGUGGGGUAACGGCUCACCAAGGCGACGUUCCCUAGCUGGUCUGAGAGGAUGACCGGCCACCCUGGAACUGAGACACGGUCCAGACUCCUACGGGAGGAAGAAGUGGGGAAUAUUGCACAAUGGGCGCAAGCUGGAUGAAGCAAGGCCGCGUGUAUGAAGAAGGCCUCCGGGUUGUAAAGUACGUUCAGCGGGGAGGCGUUACCCGCAGAAGAAGCACCGGCUAACUCCGUGCCAGCAGCCGCGGUAAUAC
rnacentral:rRNA from 1 species